rnacentral:rRNA from 1 species
UAAUUGAUGAAAAUAGUGUAAUAUUAUUAUUUUAUGUUUAUAUAUGAAAGUAUAGGAUGUGAAAAGGAUUAGUGACCCUUGUAAACUAUACUGUAAAAUAUAGGUAUUAACAAUUGGACAUUGUAAAGUUAACGCGCAAAUACCUUACCUGGGGAGUACAACUGCAAGGUUUAAACUUAAAAAAAUUGGCGGGACCUAAUUUAAUGGUGGAGCAUGUGAUUUAAUUCGGUAAUCCUCGCAAAAUCUUACUAAUAUUAUAAUUUUAUCUUGUAAUAUUUAACAUAUAUUAUAUUAUAAAAUAACGAGUACUGCAUGGCUGUCGUCAGUUCGAAUUGUGAAACGUAAAAUUAAGUUUUAAUAGCGAACGCAACCCUAAAUACAUACAAUGUAAUUGUUUAAAUAAAUAUUUAAAUAUAUAGGAUGAGGGCAAGUCUUUACGAUCUCUAAAUAUUAGGCUAUCCAUUUGU